AUUGAACGCUGGCGGCAUGCCUUACACAUGCAAGUCGAACGGCAGCACGGACUUCGGUCUGGUGGCGAGUGGCGAACGGGUGAGUAAUAUAUCGGAACAUACCUUGUAGUGGGGGAUAACUAUCCGAAAGGAUAGCUAAUACCGCAUACGAUCUAAGGAUGAAAGCGGGGGAUCUUCGGACCGCGAGGUCUAAGAUUGGCCGACAUCUGAUUAGCUAGUUGGUGAGGUAAAGGCUCACCAAGGCGACGAUCAGUAGCUGGUCUGAGAGGACGACAAGACACACUGGAACUGAGACACGGUCCAGACUCCUACGGGAGGCAGCAGUGGGGAAUUUUGGACAAUGGGGGCAACCCUGAUCCAGCAAUGCCGCGUGAGUGAAGAAGGCCUUCGGGUUGUAAAGCUCUUUUGUCAGGGAAGAAACGGUUGUGGCUAAUAUCCAUGGCUAAUGACGGUACCUGAAGAAUAAGCACCGGCUAACUACGUGCCAGCCGCCGCCGUAAGAC
rnacentral:rRNA from 1 species